AUGACCUUGACCUGCAUUCAUGGUCACAUGGGUCAAAUAGGCUAAAAUCUUUAAAUGACAAUAACCAAGAGACCCAGGGACUUGAUAUUGGACUUGUGGCACGCAUGGAUGAAGGGCUCUCAAGUUUGUCCUAAUGAAUGACCUUGACUUUAAACAGUGGUUUCCUAAUAGCCAUUUGACCCAGGCACCUGCUAUUAGGCAAAUACAUGUAGUAUGCUGGAAUGAAGGACUAGAAAAAACCUAGCCUUCUCUGAUAUUUGAAUAAAGUGGUAACGUGCAGAAAUGACCUAGAUUAACUUCAAAGUUGCUGUAGAAUCAGGUGAUUGAUACAGGCCCAUUGGGCCUCUGGCUUUAAUUUUGGAAUUUGCUUAAAACUUACUUUACUGACAAAACUGGACAUGUGAGACAUUUAAUUACGAGUAAUUCUCAUGACUUAUUCGUUAACAAGAGGUUCAUUGAGUGGUUUUACCAAUACUUGUUAUGUAUAACAUAUUACAAUGUAUAAUGAAUCACACAUGGUUUGGUGUAUUUAUGAGAGCUAUUCAGUCCAUUAUGGUCCAAUACAUUAUCUGUAAUGGGAAGACAUAUGGAAUAUUUAUCAGACAUAUCUGGGUAUUUUGUUAGAGCAUUAGUAAAUUAAGGAGCCAGGGUGGGUGUAUGAAUCAUGAUAGGAAUGAGUUUGUAAUAUUGGGAGGAGGUGAGGGAGUGGAGCUGGACACAGGAAUUCAAGGGAAGUCAAGUUGAGAUAUACAUGUUAUAAGGUUGGAUGUCCUAAGGGGAUGGAGUCAAGAGUAUAUAUAUACAACGUACAUGUUAUGAUAUUAUAGAGUUCAGAUUCAGAUGUCCCAAGAGGACAAAGUGGAGAGUAUAGAAAGACAUGUCUAUUGGGCUGUUUUAUGUUGAAAAUGGAGUUGAGAUAGAUAUGAACUGGAGAUGGACUGCUGUAUUAUUGAAACACAUUGGGGUUCAUGUCUAAGGACUUAUUACCCUGGUAGAUGGCUUUGGUUUUCCUGAAACUACAUAGUACACCCAUAAUCUAGGACCUGAUAGUCUGUACUAUAUAUACUAAUAUACAAUGCAUUGUAGUAACACUUCAUCCUAAAAUAAUGUAAAAGCAUUUACUUUUUUACUUUGAUGUCUUUCAAAUUAACAAUAUACAUUAAAACUUAAUUCUAUAGAUAUAUUCGCUAUGUAAUUUCAUCCUCUGCCAGGAACAGCCCUGGACACAUGCUUUGCUGUGACAGGCCUACAAUUUGGUAUAUACUUGGUUGACAUGAUAAUUUCUAUUAUGCUCAAGCAUGAGUUUUCACUGCUUUAAACCCAAUGUACUAAUUGACUGCAUUUUUUGGUCAUACACUCAGGUAUCUAGGCUGGUACAAGAUAAAUUUGGCAUUUAGAAUGAUUUUAAAGUUUUUAAUCCAAUUAAGUGUCUUAUGUCCAGAAGAUAUUUUGCUUUUACAUGUAGGGAUGACACCUGAUACAGAUUAUGAAAAGAAAUGCUCCUGGCCCUUAUUCAAAGUUAAGUUGUUGAAAAUACUCUUUCUUGUUAACCGAAACGACUAGAAUCAAAAUAUUUGGCUGGUAAGUUUCUUGAAUGAUGCUCAACAAAAUGUGUGAAAAGAAAUUACCUUGACUUAUAUUUCAGGUCACAGGGGUAAAAUUUGUUGAAGCACAGAAACAAGUUGCUUUGAUUAGAUGUAACUGAAAGGCAGUUAAUAAUCAAAGUGAAUAUCAUAUGAUAGGUGCAGGCCUAUUGGGCCUCUUGUGUUUCUUAAUCAGGAAUUUUUAUUUGAGAUUUUUUCUGUACGAUGAUUGAUUUAAAAAGUUCAGAUUAGAAGAGGUUGCAGUGUUCAAUAUAAAUUUUGACUCUUCUGAUAGAAUCUUUUUGUUUUUGUUCUCAAUAAUUGAAUAUAUCCUUCCUAGUCAUAUAUAUCAUCAAUCUGAAAUACUUAGCUAACUCAUUGUAUCCGUGUCAUGUCAGUCUGAUAUAUACCCUAAAACAUAUAUAGUGCUACACCUGUCGGGAAUGUUCUGUGAUACAAAGUGCUAUUCAGUAACAAAGGAGAUAUUAGUCAGAAACAAAAUAUUUUCUAUAAUUUUACCCAGAUGUUUAUAACGGAUACGUUUUUUUAUCUGCAGAUAUUGUUGUUUUAUAAAUUUUACCUUCCAGCUUGUCCAAAGAUAUUAAUGUACAUGUACUUGAUAGAAAAGUUCUUCGAUUGGAAUAAAGGUAUUUUUUGUACCAAGUGAUGUUCAGAAUAGAGGUACCAUAUUUGAUUUAUAAUGAAGCAUGUUUAGUUUAAGAAUUCUUUUAUGUGUUCACAUAUAUCUAUUUUAAUGGACCAAGAUCAAAUUGAAUAAAAUGUUUUUGAUACAA